UACGUAGGUGGCAAGCGUUGUCCGGAUUUAUUGGGUUUAAAGGGUGCGUAGGCGGUCCUAUAAGUCAGUGCUGAAAUAUCCCGGCUUAACCGGGAGGGUGGCAUUGAUACUGCAGGACUUGAGUAAAGUUGAGGUUGGCGGAAUUGACGGUGUAGCGGUGAAAUGCUUAGAUAUCGUCAAGAACACCUAUUGCGAAGGCAGCUAACUAAGCUUUAACUGACGCUGAGGCACGAAAGUGUGGGGAUCAAACAGG
rnacentral:rRNA from 2 species